GUGGGGAAUCUUCCGCAAUGGGCGAAAGCCUGACGGAGCAACGCCGCGUGAGUGAAGAAGGUCUUCGGAUCGUAAAGCUCUGUUGAAGGGGACGCACGGCGCCUGCUACAAGAUAGCAGGUGAAUGACGGUACCCUUCGAGGAAGCCACGGCUAACUACGUGCCAGCAGCCGCGGUAAUACGUAGGCGGCAAGCGUUGUCCGGAAUCAUUGGGCGUAAAGGGAGCGCAGGUGGACGUAUAGGUCCUUCUUAAAAGUUCGGGGCUCAGCCCCGUGAGGGGAAGGAAACCAUGCGUCUUGAGUGCAGGAGAGGGAAGCGGAAUUCCUGGUGUAGCGGUGAAAUGCGUAGAUAUCAGGAAGAACACCAGUGGCGAAGGCGGCUUUCUGGACUGCAACUGACACUGAGGCUCGAAAGCCAGGGAAGCGAACGGGAUUAGAAACCCGAGUAGUCC
rnacentral:rRNA from 1 species